rnacentral:rRNA from 1 species
GACGAACGCUGGCGGCGUGCUUAACACAUGCAAGUCGAACGGAAAGGCCCUGCUUUUGUGGGGUUCUCGAGUGGCGAACGGGUGAGUAACACGUGAGUAUCCUGCCCUUGACUUUGGGAUAACUUCAGGAAACUGGGGCUCAUACCGGAUAGGAGCUCCUGCUGCAUGGUGGGGGUUGGAAAGUUUCGGCGGUUGGGGAUGGACUCGCGGCUUAUCAGCUUGUUGGUGGGGUAGUGGCUUACCAAGGCUUUGACGGGUAGCCGGCCUGAGAGGGUGACCGGCCACAUUGGGACUGAGGUACGGCCCAGACGCCUACGGGAGGCAGCAGUGGGGAAUAUUGCACAAUGGGCGGAAGCCUGAUGCAGCAACGCCGCGUGCGGGAUGACGGCCUUCGGGUGGUAAACCGCUUUCGCCUGUGACGAAGCGUGAGUGACGGUAAUGGGUAAAGAAGCACCGGCUAACUACGUG